rnacentral:lncRNA from 1 species
CUGGAGCCCACGUUUUGUAGCUAAGCAGGCUGCUGCUCUUGACUGAGUCCCUGGUGAGUUCACUGCCUUGACGAGUAGGUGGCCAUGAUGAGCUUUGCUUGCUUACUUUUGGCAGGAGAAUAAAGGCAGGGCCGGGUGCCUGAGAGAGGCAGGAGCAUGAAUUCUGUCUUGGAAGGUUUGUUCUUCAAGAGGCAAAAUUCAGUUUUUCACGUAUUGCAUGGAGCCGAGCACGUGACUGUCAUACUUCAGACUUAAAUUUAGUGAGGAAUGGGGAAUGUGGAGAUGUUAACUUUGAAGUAAGUGAUCACUAGCAAUUCAGUUUAAAUUAGGUGGAAGGAUGUACGUAAACACUGAAGUAAUUUCAGAAGGGAAGAAUUAGGGAAACGGAUUAAUUAAAGAUCAAUCGAGUUAACUGGACUGAAAAAUUGUGAGGAAAAAGUGCUCUGGAACCUCAAUUUAAAGGAAUUCCAUGGUACAGUAUGAAAUUUGCAACUAAGGACCUAAUUACAGGGCUUCAGGAUACAGUUGCUACGGAGAUAACUUCGGGCCAAAAUUAAGGCAUGCAACCCGUAUACAACCAUAUUCUUUGCAUGCCCCGAAACUAUAAUUAAGCUAACGCAAAUCUGGUGGGAGAACAAAUGUGUGUAAUCUUGCUCUGAAUGAAUUUAGGUUGAGAACUAACCAUUGAGAUUCUGGCACAGCUCUCCAAAACAAGCCAUGGGGGACAGAAGACCCAGUGGGAAUGAAGGUGGAGCCCACCGUGUUUAGAUGUGCUACCUAAAAGACGUGAGACAUCUCCAUGGACACGUCAUUGUGACAGUGAAGGUGCUCCAAAGAGACACUGUGACUCUGCUUCUCUCAGCCACUGUCAAAAGCUGUGUGCAGAUCUGAAAGUGCGACAGGGAUCAAUGGGAAUCCAAUGUGGACAAAAAGGUACCCUGGUUAAAUUCAAAGUGAGUUUCAUAAACUGAUUUUAGAAACUGUUUUUCUUUUAAAACAUAUCUUUCAAACAAGAUCACAGUUUUGAAUUUGCAGUAAUGACAUCACGAAAGAUAGAACUGCAGCCAGUAUUUCUGAUAGGGAAAAAUAUAUAUAUAUAAAUGGUAAAUUUAUACUACCCUGACAGAAGAAGGCUUCUCAGGUUCAGAGUUUGGAUUAACAGUAACUGACAGAAAAAAUGACUUUUUAACGCACAGAUUUUAAGAUCACCUUAUGGGAAAAGAUGAUACUAAAACCCAUGGCAAUCAUGCACAGAUUACUUCUGAAACUUGCAUGUAUUCCCAGUAAGUCCUCUCUAGAUUCCAUUUACCCUUUUUCUA